GAUAAACGCUGGCGGCGUGCCUAAUACAUGCAAGUCGAGCGAACGGACGAGAAGCUUGCUUCUCUGAUGUUAGCGGCGGACGGGUGAGUAACACGUGGAUAACCUACCUAUAAGACUGGGAUAACUUCGGGAAACCGGAGCGAAUACCGGAUAAUAUUUUGAACCGCAUGGUUCAAAAGUGAAAGACGGUCUUGCUGUCACUUAUAGAUGGAUCCGCGCUGCAUUAGCUAGUUGGUAAGGUAACGGCUUACCAAGGCAACGAUGCAUAGCCGACCUGAGAGGGUGAUCGGCCACACUGGAACUGAGACACGGUCCAGACUCCUACGGGAGGCAGCAGUAGGGAAUCUUCCGCAAUGGGCGAAAGCCUGACGGAGCAACGCCGCGUGAGUGAUGAAGGUCUUCGGAUCGUAAAACUCUGUUAUUAGGGAAGAACAUAUGUGUAAGUAACUGUGCACAUCUUGACGGUACCUAAUCAGAAAGCCACGGCUAACUACGUG
rnacentral:rRNA from 1 species